rnacentral:rRNA from 1 species
GACGAACGCUGGCGGCGUGCCUAAUACAUGCAAGUCGAGCGGACCACUUCGGUGGUCAGCGGCGGACGGGUGAGUAACACGUGGGCAACCUGCCUGUAAGACUGGGAUAACACCGGGAAACCGGUGCUAAUACCGGAUAAUCCUUUCCUUCACAUGAGGGGAAGCUGAAAGACGGUUUCGGCUGUCACUUACAGAUGGGCCCGCGGCGCAUUGGCUAGUUGGUGAGGUAACGGCUCACCAAGGCAACGAUGCGUAGCCGACCUGAGAGGGUGAUCGGCCACACUGGGACUGAGACACGGCCCAGACUCCUACGGGAGGCAGCAGUAGGGAACCUUCCGCAAUGGACGAAAGUCUGACGGAGCAACGCCGCGUGAGCGAUGAAGGCCUUCGGGUCGUAAAGCUCUGUUGUCAGGGAAGAACAAGUACCGGAGUAACUGCCGGUACCUUGACGGUACCUGACCAGAAAGCCACGGCUAACUACGUGCCAGCAGCCGCAGUAAAAC